CGCGGAACGAUUACUUAUUU
rnacentral:miRNA from 1 species